ACUGGGAAUGACACCGCGGCCCAAAAUCUCUCCUACGAAAGGCGGACAUUGGGAAUCUUCCWGAUGGACCAAACUCUGAGGGAGCAACGCCCSUUGAACAAUGAAAGCCUUUUGGUCGUAAAGCUUUCUGUUGUAAGGGAAAAACUCGUGCCUUCUGAMAUGGCCGCACCUUGACGGUCCCAUUGAAAUAAARCCCCGGGCUAAUUUACUGUGCCCACGCAGCGCGGCGUAAUACAUUGGUGGUAACGCGUUGUCCRAAAUUAUUGGGGGUAAACGGCGUUCASGGCKGUUGCYUCUUAMYYUCUGAUGUGAAAGCCCCCGCUCUCACCCCGGGGAGGGCCAUUGGAAACUGGGAGGCUUGAGUAUAUAGAGAGAAGAGUGGAAUUCCACGUGUAGCGGUGAAAUGCRUAGAGAUGUGGAGGAACACCUGUGGCGAASGCSACUCUUUGGCCUAUAACUGACGCUGAGGCGCGAAAGCGUGGGGAGCAAACGGGAUUAGAUACCCUGGUAGUCCACGCCGUAAACUAUGAGUGCUAKGUGUUGGAGGGUUUCCGCCCUUCAGUGCUGAAGCUAACGCAUUAAGCACUCCCCCUGGGGGAGUACGGUCRCAAGGYUGAAACUCAAASGAMUUGASGGGGACCCCCCCAAGCUGUGGAGCAUGUGGUUUAAUUCRAAGCAMUSGGAAGACCCUUCCMAAUUUUUGACAUCCCCCUGACCGGUUACAGAGAUGUACCUUCACCCUYCGGGGGCAGGGGUGACAGGUGGUGCAUGGUUGUCGUCAGCUGGUGUCGUGAGAUGGGGGGUUAAGUCCCGCAACGAGCGCYGACCCUCGUCCUUAGUUGCCAGCAUUUAGUUGGGCAUUUUAAGGAGACCGCCGGRUGCCAA
rnacentral:rRNA from 1 species